GCGGUUCAGCAGCUGAUAAACAGACGCCAUCUUGUUCGUUUCAUCGAAAUAUAGACAUUCCAAACAACUCUUUAAGAAGUUGACCGACGCUUAUCAUUUUUAUUCUAUAAUUUAAAAAAGUUUGCUCACGUCAAAGAAUAUUAUCACUUGACAGAAGAUAGGCCGACGAGAAAAAGAAGACGAACCUCUGACAUGUACUGACAGAACAAAAGAAAAUUUACAGUGAAACGAUGGAGGAAUAAUAAAAAAAUUGAACCAUUAUGAAAUACUUGAACACGAAAAUAUGAAGAAGAUCCGAUACGGAAUAUUUUGUCUUUUAUAUCUUCUCUUCCAGGUGGCGGCUGCAGUGGCCUGUAAGCGGAAAUCAUCUUGUCGUCCGCCGCGCUGUCCAGGCGGCUGCAAGCCAAAGUAUUGGUGAUAGAUCCCAGAGAUGUGGGAGGUAUUGAUCUGGGCCACGUGGUGUCUGAUGCUGGUGAUGGGCGUGGUGGAUGGCUGCAAAAAGAAGACGAUCUGCCGCCCACCACCGGGUGGCAGGCCUGGUUGUGGAGGGCGUUGACAUCUGAUUACGAAUUACGAAACGAUUAAGAAUAAAAAUUGUAGUUUAAGGAUCUUUAAACGAAACUCAAUCAUUUAAAAUUGAAAUUAAAAGUUGACAUUUGAAGACGAUAAAAAACGAAAAAUGUUAGUUUAAAUAUAAUAAAUUUGUUAACUGU